GACGAACCGUGCGAACGUUAUUCGGAAUCACUGGGCUUAAAGCGCGUGUAGGCGGCUGGGAACGUCGGUAGUUGAAAGCCCCCGGCUCAACCGGGGAAGUGGUGCCGAAACGACCCGUCUGGAGGGACGUAGGGGGACCUGGAACUUCCGGUGGAGCGGUGAAAUGCGUAGAUAUCUGGAGGAACACCGGUGGCGAAGGCGGCGUUCUGGACUGUUUCUGACACUGAAAAACGAAAGCCAGGGGAGCAAACGGG
rnacentral:rRNA from 1 species